rnacentral:misc_RNA from 1 species
GAUAGAACGCAGCGAAAUGCGAUAAGUAAUGUGAAUUGCAGAAUUCAGUGAAUCAUCGAAUCUUUGAACGCACAUUGCGCCCGCCAGUAUUCUGGCGGGCAUGCCUGUUCGAGCGUCAUUUCAACCAUCAAGCCCCCGGCUUGUGUUGGGGACCUGCGGCUGCCGCAGGCCCUGAAAACCAGUGGCGGGCUCGCUAGUCACUCCGAGCGUAGUAGUUACAUCUCGCUCAGGGCGUGCUGCGGGUUCCGGCCGUUAAAAGCCUUAUUUACCCAAGGUUGACCUCGGAUCAGGUAGGAAGACCCGCUGAACUUAAGCAUAUCAAUAAGCGGAGGA